rnacentral:misc_RNA from 1 species
GAUGAAGAACGUAGCAAAAUGCGAUAAGUAAUGUGAAUUGCAGAAUUCAGUGAAUCAUCGAAUCUUUGAACGCACAUUGCGCCCGCUAGUAUUCUGGCGGGCAUGCCUGUCCGAGCGUCAUUUCAACCCUCAAGCCCCCGGGCUUGGUGUUGGGGAUCGGCGAGCCUCCGCGCCCGCCGUCCCCUAAAUCUAGUGGCGGUCUCGCUGUAGCUUCCUCUGCGUAGUAGCACACCUCGCACUGGGAAACAGCGCGGCCACGCCGUUAAACCCCCAACUUCUGAACGUUUGACCUCGGAUCAGGCAGGAAUACCCGCUGAACUUAAGCAUAUCAAUAAGCGGAGGA